rnacentral:rRNA from 1 species
UACGUAGGUGGCAAGCGUUGUCCGGAUUUACUGGGCGUAAAGAGCGCGCAGGCGGCCAAGUCAGUCGAAUGUGAAAGCCCCCCGGCUCAACUGGGGAGGGUCAUUCGAUACUGCUCGGCUCGAAGACAGGAGAGGGAAGUGGAAUUCCCGGUGUAGUGGUGAACUGCGUAGAUAUCGGGAGGAACACCAGUGGCGAAGGCGACUUUCUGGCCUGUUCUUGACGCUGAGGCGCGAAAGCUAGGGGAGCAAACGGG